GUAAAACAGGGUGUGGGAGCCACUUGGUUGGGGGUCAUCAAGUGGCCUGAUGGAUCCAGGGCAUGGGAAGGUGGAAUGAGGGAGGAAGAGGCAGUGGCAAGAGGAGAGCAGGUUGGGCAGGUGGUCGGGGUUUGAUCCUGAAUGCAGAGGCGACAUGGAAGGGCUUUGUGCAGGGGCUGCUGUGCUCUGAUUCACACAUUAGAAAGACCAUUCUGGAGGCAGCAUGGAGGCUGGUCAGUUGAAGAGGAGGCAGAGUCCUGUGACCAGGUUGUUGUGACGCCUUCUGAGGGUCCACCCCUCAAUGGCUGGUCCUCAGUGCCCCCAUAGCCGGGAGCCCUGGGGCAGGGGGACUGGCAGUCCCUGCAGUCCUUGCCAUGCAAGAAUGGGAACAGGCAGGCCUGGGCAGUACUACUCGUCCUCCUGGAAGUAGAAUUUGGUGACCAUGACGCCUUCGUCAGGCAUAUUGGUGAGGCUGACGGGCUGGUCAGCUUCCAUCGCUGUGCAGAGGAACCAACCGGGGCAGGCGGCAGACUCAAAACUGCUGGAGUCUGGUCUCAUCACCAGACUUGACACAGGACAGGCACAUCUUCCCUCCAUGGAUUCCCAAGAACAGAGCAUGAGGCUCAAUGGGUACCAC
rnacentral:lncRNA from 1 species